AUUGAACGCUGGCGGCAGGCUUAACACAUGCAAGUCGAGCGGAGAUGAGGUGCUUGCACCUUAUCUUAGCGGCGGACGGGUGAGUAAUGCUUAGGAAUCUGCCUAUUAGUGGGGGACAACAUUCCGAAAGGAAUGCUAAUACCGCAUACGUCCUACGGGAGAAAGCAGGGGAUCUUCGGACCUUGCGCUAAUAGAUGAGCCUAAGUCGGAUUAGCUAGUUGGUGGGGUAAAGGCCUACCAAGGCGACGAUCUGUAGCGGGUCUGAGAGGAUGAUCCGCCACACUGGGACUGAGACACGGCCCAGACUCCUACGGGAGGCAGCAGUGGGGAAUAUUGGACAAUGGGGGGAACCCUGAUCCAGCCAUGCCGCGUGUGUGAAGAAGGCCUUAUGGUUGUAAGGCACUUUAAGCGAGGAGGAGGCUACUGAGACUAAUACUCUUGGAUAGUGGACGUUACUCGCAGAAUAAGCACCGGCUAACUCUGUGCCAGCAGCCGCGGUAAUAC
rnacentral:rRNA from 1 species